UACGGGGGGAGCAAGCGUUGUUCGGAUUUACUGGGCGUAAAGGGCGUGUAGGCGGUCACUACAAUUCAGUUGUGAAAUCUCUGGGCUUAACUCAGAACGGUCAACUGAUACUGUCGGGCUAGAGUGCAGAAGGGGCAACUGGAAUUCUCGGUGUAGCGGUGAAAUGCGUAGAUAUCGAGAGGAACACCUGCGGCGAAGGCGGGUUGCUGGGCUGACACUGACGCUGAGGCGCGAAAGCUAGGGGAGCGAACAGG
rnacentral:rRNA from 1 species